rnacentral:lncRNA from 1 species
CAAGAAGCGCCGUGACUUUCAUCGACAAUCACGACACUGGUUCCACGCAGAAAAUGUGGCCGUUUCCCUCCUAUAAGGUCAUGCAGGGAUAUGCCUACAUCCUCACCCAUCCCGGAGUCCCAUCCAUUGUAAUGUCCUCUUCCUCUCGUUUAAUCGACUCAUCUCACUGUUGUCCCGUGUCUGUCCCGUGUCUGUGAUAACUAAUGUACUAUGUUGAUGUCUGAAAGUUGCCAGUUACAUUGCGUUUUGCUCUUUUAUAAACCUCAAAGAAGUUCAUCUAACUCAUCCCAUUCAUUAACAAGACGCAUGCUUCUUGUAAUUUAGCACCAUAUGAAUUUGCUGAUCUUUCCUUUUCGAUUUGACCUAAGGAAAUGAUAUUUCUACUUGCGCAGUUCUACGAUCACUUCUUUGACUGGGGCCUGAAGGAGGAGAUCGGCAAGUUGACAGCGAUAAGGGCACGGAACCGGAUUAACGAGAAGAGCAGCGUGAAGAUCUUGGCUUCUGAUUCUGAUUUAUACGUGGCCAAGAUCGACGAUGGAGUGAUUAUGAAGAUUGGGCCUAGGUUUGAAGUAGGAAACCUUGUUCCUCCCAAUUAUCAGAUUGCUACAUCCGGCCAAGAUUAUUGUGUGUGGGAGAAGAAGUGAUGUUCAGGCAAACUUAAGAAUAAGCAGCAACUGAAAGAGCAAUUAUAGGUUGCAUUGUUUGAAAUAAAAAUUUACAAGCGGUCUUAUGCACCGUAUGGAAGUAAGUUAAAAUUUUUCGUUCAACCUCUGUUAUUUAUAUAAGGUUGUCAAUUAUCGACACCAUAUGGAAUAAAUGGGUUUGUGUAUUCCCAUUUACGACACAUUCAAAAUUAUAUCUUAGGCCGGAGGUAAUUUGUUUCAACAGGACAUAAUUUGUUUCAACAGGACAUAAUUAGACAUGUUUAACACUCACAUUUAAUGAUUUUUUUAUUAUUAAAAGUUUAUAACAAUAACACCCAUUAAAAGCAUAUGAAAGGAUAAAAAAGUCUGUAAACAAAAUGAAAUUCAAUGAUGCACUGUACAUUAGUGAUAAGUAGAUUUGGAGUAAAGUAAAACAACAUAUCUAGUUGCUAAUUAAGCCGAUCUAACCACCUCACAUGCAAUAACAAAUAAUUAAAUCGCUAUUCCAUUCUAACUAACCACAUAAACCAUACUUAACCUAAACUAAUCAACCAUUAAGCAGAAUUAACUUCAUAAGUAGAGUUUAGUGAGUAAACUCACCGGUUUUGAAAUCCGAUGAGUUCGCGGUGAUUGUAAUGCGGAAAUGGGCGACAAACUCCGAAGCGACGACAUCCUACAAGGCCUGAAAGCGGUCCAAAACGAGCCUAGAAGGCCCACGGCUAGUUGAGGGCUUCGGUUUUGCUUUAUGGGUCGAGAGAGAUCUAGGCGACGGGCUGAGCUGGAAACGGCCAAGGUGGCUAGCGUAGAUUGCUGCGGGACUAGGUGGCGGCGGACGGUGGCUCGAGUGACCACGACGGCGACCACAACGGCUGGAUGACGUUGGACGACAGCAAGUAGGGUGCGAACACGAGUAGGGGACCCGCAGACUUAGGCGCGUAAAUGAGCAGAACUAGAGGGCGAGCGACGACCUGGCAACAGUCAGACGGGUGUGCGACGGGCAAGGGUAGGAGGCUACUCGAUCUCUUGCAAUUUUUGGGAGUUUCCAAGCUUGAAAAUGGAGAAAGCAAGUCUUGUUGAAGAAGAAAAGCCAGUUGCAAGAGUGGAGGGACCCUUUGGCCCCAAAGUCUCCAUUCCUAUCUCCUUUGUCCCCUUGGCAAGGCCCCACCUGUUUCAGCUAAUCCUUAGCCAAUUUUGUACACACAAAACCCCCUAGAACAAGUUCCAAAUGGUCCAAAAGUUGAGGGGGACCAUGACAUACAAAUUUGACACCAAAUUCCCCAAAUUGAGUUCAAUUCUCCUCCAAUUGGGUUCAAUUCGGUCUCCAUAAAUUCCACCAAGGUGUCCUCAACCAAAUUGACAUUUUUCCUCACUAAUAAAAUCAACUUGCAUCCUAAAAACGCGAUAAAAAUUGGUCCCUGAAUUUUCCGGACAAAAACAGCCCAAUUUUGAAUUUUCGUCAAAAAUCUCAGUUUGCAGAAAAAUCUUUGGAGGAAGAGUUGACAUUCCUAAAAUGAAUUGUGACAUGAAAAAACUUUCAAUUUCUGAAAUCGGAUUCAAAUUCGCAGUUAAUUUUAAUCUAGCGCGAUUUUAGAAUGACCUAGCCUACUGGAUAGCUUUUAGAAAUUUUUAGUGCAAUUGACCCGUGGUCGAUUUAUUUCGAGUCACAAUGUACAUCUUUGACACAUUAGCGACUCUUGAUUGUUGAGAAAAUCUCAAUGUUUAAAAUACGGGCAUAGGGUACCCAAAACGACAAAAAAAUCGGUCAAUACCGAUCGACGAGAAUUUUGUAAUCAGGUGGAAUCACUCAUACUUUGAUCAUACUAUGAUCUAUGUUCGAUUUUGACAAUGUCGUAAUGACUCUUGCAGACUAGCACGGUCAAGCAAUUGAUUCUUAAUCGAAUUCUCAAGUCUAUUGCGUUAAAAUCCCUUAACGGCUUCGCUUGAUAGGCUAGUUAUCUCGUGAUUAGCCAACUCAGAGAAAAGAAUUAUAGGCGUGUCGAUGAAAAGCUCAACUUAUUCAAUAAAAAAACAUAGCCUGAAAUUCAGGAUGUCACACGUCAUCCGUGAUUGGGUUCAACAGGGGCGAAUGCCGAAUCUGCUUGGCUCAUCAAAAACCGGAAAUGUUUGUGGGGAGUGCAUGUUGGCGAACUUUCAAUCAGCGUUGGGAAGAACAAUGAAGUCAAUCUUUGAAAUAUGAUAUCACUAUCUUUAAUGAAUUAUUUUCCUCACAACUUGGCUAAUAGUCACCUGCAAAUUUCGUCCAAGAUACAACAAAAUCUCGUUUGAGAAUACUAGAUAGAAAUAUUUCUCUAAGAUCUUUCAAGGAAAACAAUUGGAAACAAUGGCUAUAUAUUUUUUUGAAAGAAAAUAAAAUUAGAAGCCGAAGAUCAUUAUUGAACAAACAUGUUCAGUAAUUAAUAUAAAGAACAAGAAGGUAUAUCGGAAUAGACACAACCUUCCAAAGAUUAAAAAGUUAUGCCUAACAUGUAUGAACUUUGAAAUAACCAUUGGAAGAAGUAAUAAAAUUGGGAAUUAAAUACAUAAAAAAUAAAAAUUAUCAUAAUUUUUUCAUAAACAGUCACAUUGUUCUAAUAGGACAUUACUUUUAAUUUUUAUAAUUAUAAAUCCGAUUUUUAAUAAAUAAAAAAUAAUGAUCAUUGAUUAGUGUCGAAUUUUGUCUAUGUGCGCAUUCACAUCUUUUUGAUGUGGGAUAAGGCAUCUCUUGAUUUGUUUUAUAAAUAAACUACCAAGGAUGCUUAAUUGCUUAUAGCAUUGUUGCUUGGCAGUAGUUUUCCUUUCGGCAAGUGACUCCUUUUACUGUUCGUCCCAUAUAGACCGAUGAAAUCAAAUUUUUAGUACAUGUUGUUUAUGUUCUGUUUCCCCCAGUGGGUUGCGUUAGCGUAAUAUAUGGUUGAGUAUAGGGGUGAGCGGUUCCCGGUUCCUUACAGGUUCCGCUUGGAACCUGGAACCUACCCUCGGGUACACGUUCUUCAUUUUUUGGAACCUGGAACCUACCCGUCAAAACCGAGAACCUGGAACCUACCCUGUCACAGGUUCCGGGGUCGGUUCCGGUUCCAACAGGUUCUUUUUUUUUUUUUCAUUUUUAGUUAAAAAAAUGAAAAUGAAUGCAGCAAUAAUAAACAAACUUGUCAUUCAUUGAAGAUAAUAUAACACAAAUAGCAAACAGCAUUUUAGAAGUAAUAAACAAGCCGUCAUUUGAACAACACACUUCAUUCUAAAUGAUCUUUGCCUUAAUCAAAUCGAAAGUUUCUUGCUGUGCUCGGAACUAACGUACCCUGUCUCCAAUUGGAUUGAGUAUCCCAUCUCUAAAAGCUGAAAACAGCAGCAAACAUAACUUAGCACCACCAAAAUUAAAAAAGAGAAGACCCAAACAACUAAAACUUCCAGAUAUGCUAAGAAGGGUUACUUACGCACAGUGAUAGAGCCAUGCUGCUUUUGCUGCACAGGAUAACUAAACAGCUUAAUAACUCGGCAUGCUGACGUUCAAAUUAGGAAUGCGCAUCAGGGGUUGAUAAGGAUAUACUUUAGUCUUUUGAGAAAGAGCGGCACCCCAGGUAGUUUAGCCUGUAUCUCCUCAAACAUUUUAUCCACUCUAACAGCAGGAGGGGCUCUUCUGAAUUGGGGGCUUUCCUCAAACACGUCAAAAGGUUGUUCGGUGAGCUGCAUCAUUGAUGGUCACGGACUAUUCAUUAGCUUAUCGGAAGAUGUUGCAUUAUAAUUGACACACAAGAUAUAAGAAACACAAUUAACAGGGCAAUCAGGGGAUAAAAGAGGUGUCUAUCAGUCAUCAAGGAAAAUGUUGCAGCAGACAGGAUAUAAGACUCACAAGUCCUUUCAUUUCAGCUAAUCUAGUCAGGUCUCUUAUAAGCCCACGCAUGUCACACCGAGCAAAGAAGUUCACCACAGCCCAUUUCUGUAUCUUAGCUGGCUCAACAAAUUUCUGCAGAAGAGUGAAAAGAUAGCAUAAACAGACUUAUUGAACACAAUAAUUGGUGGCGGAUAAUUCAAAUAACCUUAUUCUAAAAGCUCCACCGUCCAUUGUGGGGGAAGAAAUCCUCUCCAUUGCCCACGUUUAGCUGGGAAGGAAGCCACAGAAGUUUGUGUUAUUGCAGAUGAUUGUCUAACAGUCCAUUGCAAACAAACAGAAUUUCUUUUUUUUCUUUUUUCUUUUUUUAUCCAGCAAACAAAAUGCAAAAGGGAAACUAGCAGUGGCACCUUAGGAGCCGGUAGAACACGGCCUUCAACUUGAGUAAAGCUAUUGCUAAUUGUUAUACCGCAUGAACGCAGCAUAGGUUCAGAAUCAUAGUUGCUACGCUCCAAUCUGAUCCUUCACUUGAAACUGAUAAGUCCAGUCCUGUUUCAGAUCAUGAAAUCCUUUGGCUGCUUCCUCACAUACAUGCUUUCCGAGAUGGAGUUUGAACCAUACUCUAGAUUCCAAAUUCAUCAGGACUGCAGACUUUGUAGACUCUUUAGCGCGAUUAAGUUGCACUUGAGUAACUGCCAAAAAGAAAAAAUUUCAAUUAGUGUCAGGGCACACUAGAAACAAAAUAACAAGAAUGGCACAUUGAAGAAAAUAAACAGAUGCAGCAUGAACCUUGUCCAGGUGUUGCCAGUGCUAUUAAUUCUUCAGCAGCCACAUCAACGGCUUUUGCCACAAAGUCAGAGCUCUGCUAACCAAAUUUAGAAGAAAAUGAUAAGCUCAGAAGUAAUUAGCAAAACACUAAAAGUUUGUCACUGCCAGUAACUUUGUCAACACCUAGUCAGUGGCACUCCAUGCUGACAGAAGCUAAAAAGAUUAAGUUCGAAUUUACCAUAGGUUUUCAUGUUUUAACCAAUAUCAGGCAUUAGGGACCCCAAUUCACUUUUUUUCUUAUGUCUCCUGGUCAGUGCCAAAACAACGAGUAAACCCGCGCCACGAGCCCUAGCAAAUCCAACCAAAGCCAUCGACGUCCAAAGAGAGGGACAUACCUUGAGGAUGAGAAUCUCGUUGUCGAGGAGGCGAAAGCCAGCCCAAGCUUCAAAGCCCCGCGCUUUCGAAUCGAGCAAAGAGAAUACAACACAAAUGCUCAAAAGCUUAAAAAGAACGAUGCAGAGAGAGAGAGAGCUUACGGUCUUUGCCNNNNNNNNNNNNNNNNNNNNNNNNNNNNNNNNNNNNNNNNNNNNNNNNNNNNNNNNNNNNNNNNNNNNNNNNNNNNNNNNNNNNNNNNNNNNNNNNNNNNNNNNNNNNNNNNNNNNNNNNNNNNNNNNNNNNNNNNNNNNNNNNNNNNNNNNNNNNNNNNNNNNNNNNNNNNNNNNNNNNNNNNNNNNNNNNNNNNNNNNNNNNNNNNNNNNNNNNNNNNNNNNNNNNNNNNNNNNNNNNNNNNNNNNNNNNNNNNNNNNNNNNNNNNNNNNNNNNNNNNNNNNNNNNNNNNNNNNNNNNNNNNNNNNNNNNNNNNNNNNNNNNNNNNNNNNNNNNNNNNNNNNNNNNNNNNNNNNNNNNNNNGGUGACGGUGGCUUGGGGACGGCGGCGGUGCCUCACGGCGGCGCGGACAGCAAGACAGCUCGUCGGGCUAAACGGUGAGACGGCUUGUCGGACGAGCAGUGGGUGGUGGGGGUUCGGUGGCCAAGAGGUGGUGGUGAGUAGGGCGUGGGGCAGCGGUGUGGUGGUGGGUGAAGCAGCAACCGGCGAGAGGAAGGAAGAAGAAGAAGAAGAAGAAGAAGAGGUGGGAGGGUUCGGCUGAGAGAGGAGGAGAGAGAGAGAGAGGGGAAAAGAAAAAAGUGGGGGGCAGGAAGUGACGUGAGGAGGAAAAAGGGGAGAAAAGAGAGAGAGAAAAAGAAAGGGAAAGGGGGGAAAAUUGAAGGGGGGGGAAUUCGAGCGAAAGGGAUUAGGGUUUUUUUAUUUUUUAACUUUGCCGGUUCUGGUUCCUGUGGGAACCGGAACCGGAACCGGGAACCGCCGGUUCCUGGAAAAAGAGAACCGGGAACCGGAACCGGUCCCCUUAGAACCGGGAACCGAACCGGAACCUCCUCCGGUUCGGUUCCGGUUCCCGGUUCUAACCGGAACCACGCUCACCCCUAGUUGAGUAUGAAAGCUUAGAUCUUGCAAGUUAGGAGAAUAUUGGUGGGUCAUUAAGGGAUAUGCGGACCCUUGGAGUACCUUAACUUUGCCCAAAGAGACACUUAAGUGUUAUAACUUACGAAAUGUACACUUAAGUGCCAAAAUCGGAGUAAAAUGGAUCACUUGAGUGCCAAUCUGGUCAAAGUCCAGCCAAAACGUUAACGUGGCAUUUUUCGGGCGAACCGAGUCCAAAACGACGCUGUUUUGCACGCUGACAUGACCAAAAUAUGCAAAAACGGCGUUGUUUUGAGCUGACGUGGUAAAAAAAAAUAAUUAAAUUAAAUUUAAAAAUAAUAAUUUUAAAAUUAAAUUUAGUUAAAAUAUUUAAAAAUAAUAAUUUUAAAAUUAAAUUUAGUUGAAAUAUUAAAAAUUUAAUUAAAAAUAAUAAUUUUAAAAUUAAAUUCAACCGCCGUCGCCGCCGCCCCGCCGCCGUCGGGAAGGGCCGGGCGAGGGCCGCCGCCCGCUGGGGGUCGCCACAGCGAGCGGCGGCCCUUGGUCCGACUAGGCGAGGGCUGCCGACCCUCACUAGAUCUAGGCAAGGGCGGCGACGGCUGAGGGCGAUCCCUUAGCCGCCUCCCCCCUUUCCUUUUUUUUUUUUUUUUAAUUUUUUAAAAUUUUAAAAUUUUAAAAUUAUUAAUUUUUUAAUAUUUCAACUAAAUUUAAUUUUAAAAUUAUUAAUUUUAAAUAUUUUAACUCAAUUUAAUUUUUAAUUUAAUUUAAUUAUUUUUAAUUAUUUUUUUUACCACAUCAGCACAAAAACAACGUCGUUUUUGCAUUAUUUAGCCACGUCAGCGUGCAAAAUGACGUCGUUUUGGGCGCGCUUUGCCGGAAAAAUGCAACGUCGGCAUUUUGGCCGGAGUAGCACUCAAGUGAUUCGUUUUUCUUCGAAUGUGGCACUUAGGUGUAUCUUUCGUAAGUUAUGGCACUUAAAUAUCUCUUUGGACAAAGUUAUGGUACUUAAAGCGUUCUUUUGCCAUCAUUCAGGAGUAUCGCAUUAUCUAUGCCUGGAACAUGGACACGCCACGCACCGAUAUGAUCUUUGUGGCCAGUCGGGGUUCUCUAUUGAAACGGUAUUAGUUACGAAAUCUACUGCUUAGAACUACGUUAAGCCCACUGAACCCAUGGUUCCCUAUAAUUUUCUCUUUCUAUUUGGGGUUGCAAUUACCAUGUGAUUUCUGGCUAACCCUGUUGCCUAAUCCACUUCCCUAAUCAUCACAUGGUCUUGCUUGAAAACGAAGUAUUGAGGGGUAAUGUGAAAUAUCGACCUUUGAGGAAGACAGGCCAAACACGAAAGAAACAGAACGAAACUUGACUUAGCGAAGUCUUUGCUCUCUGUUGUUUUUUUCUUGGCACGACUCUCAGUCGAUUCAGACUUCUGAAGCUUCACGUGGGUUACGCGGCGUGCCAUUUACGUUGCAUUCACUUCCUGUUUUCUUGGCCACCCAACGUCCUUAGCCUACCCCUCUCGGUUGCCAUUGGCCAACAAUCUAAUACGCGUUUGUGGAAUACAAAGUCGGACUUUUAAUCCGAAUGGCAGCCCCCUGCUGCUCGACUUUCCACGUCCAUUCCUCUAAAUUGUCCUGUUUCCUUUGAUUUGUCAGGAGUCAUCCUCUUCAUGCGCCUUUGACAUGUCCAAUCUAAAAUUUCCAUGACAUAGCCCUCCGGUUCCAAUUAAAAGAUCAGAGAAAGAAAAAGGAAGGAGCAUGUGAUGAUGAGUUCUCCCUCUCUCUUCUGGCUCUUCGUUCUUUUGGUCUUUUACCUCGCCGCCUCAGCAUCCCCUGCCUUGUUAUUUCAGGUGAGAUAGAGAAAUCAACGUCUUGUUCUUCAUUACGAUACAAAGUGACAGAGAAAGCAAUGGAGAUUUCAUUUAUAUGCUUUACUUGUUGAGUUAUAUGUCUGACUGUUCAAGAAUUUGGGCGUUAUCUGAACAAAGGGGUUCAACUGGGAAUCUUCGAAGAAGGAAGGGGGAUGGUACAAUUCGCUCAAGAACUUGGUACCGGAUUUGGCCAAUGCUGGAAUUACUCAUGUGUGGCUUCCUCCACCGUCUCAAUCUGCCGCUCAACAAGGUAUAUCGCUGUGCCCUAACUCCUAAUAAUAAAAAAUCACUCAAUUUCCUUCUACAGUUGCGCUUGCCUGCAGUGUAGUGAUGAUUGAUGAAUAUGAUAGUGAUUACGGGCUAAAUCAUCAGAAUUAAUAGUUCUGGACUGCUAGUCCAGGAUGAAUUGAUGUUUGAUGCAUUCGACAAUCUUGGAUCAAAUUCAACCGUGUGGUUUCUGAGAAGAAAUAGAUCCUCAAAAGAAAUACUCUAUAUGAACAUCUGUUCCAAGGUUAGAAUUUAGUAGGACUCAUUUUGAUGAAUGCCAUCCCCUCUUUUCUCUAGGGUACCUGCCUGGGCGGCUCUAUGAUCUCAAUGCUUCGAGCUACGGGAAUCAGGAUGAGUUGAAGCAUCUUAUUGAUGCUUUCCAUCAAAAGGGAAUCAAAUGCCUGGCCGACAUAGUGAUUAACCACAGGACUGCGGAAAAACAAGAUAGCCGGGGAAUAUGGUGCAUCUUCGAAGGCGGAACACCCGACGAACGUCUUGACUGGGGGCCGUCCUUUAUUUGUCGCGAUGACACUGAGUUCUCUGAUGGCAUGGGUAAUCUUGAUACAGGUGGGGACUUCAAUAAUACGCCCGACAUAGACCACCUCAAUCCGAGGGUGCAAAAGGAGCUGUCUGACUGGAUGAAUUGGUUGAAGAGCGAUAUAGGAUUUGAUGGGUGGCGAUUCGAUUUCGUACUGGGUUAUGACCCAAGCAUCACCAAAAUCUACAUGGAUCGGACUUUGCCGAAUUUUGCGGUGGGAGAGAACUGGGACUCGCUCUCUUAUGGACAGGAUAAGAAGCCCAACCCAAACCAGGAUGCACACCGCCAUAAGCUGGCGGAAUGGGUCAAUGCUGCAGGCGGGGCCGUCACGGCAUUUGAUUUCACCACGAAGGGGAUCCUCCAGGCGGCCGUUGAAGGGGAGCUUUGGCGGUUGAAGGAUUCAAACGGGAUGCCGCCGGGAUUGAUUGGCCUCCAGCCAAGCAGUGCCGUGACUUUCAUCGACAAUCACGACACUGGUUCCACGCAAAAAAUAUGGCCGUUUCCGUCCGAUAAGGUCAUGCAGGGAUAUGCCUACAUCCUCACCCAUCCUGGAGUCCCAUCCAUUGUAAUGUCCUCUUGCUCUCGUUUAAUCGACUCAUCUCACUGUUGUGCUGUGUCUGUGAUGACUAAUGUACUAUGUUGAUGUCUGAAAGUUGCCAGUUACGUUGCGUUUCGCUCUAUUAUAAACCUCAGAGAAGUUCAUCUAACUUAUCCCAUUCAUUAACAAGACGCAUGCUUCUUGUAAUUUAGCACCAUAUGAAUUUGCUGAUCUUUCUUUUUUGAUUUGACCUAAGGAAAUGAUAUUUCUACUUGCGCAGUUCUAUGAUCACUUCUUUGACUGGGGCCUGAAGGAGGAGAUCGGCAAGUUGACGGCGAUAAGGGCGCGGAACCAGAUUAACGAGAAGAGCAGUGUGGAGAUCUUGGCUUCCGAUUCUGAUUUAUACGUGGCCAAGAUCGACGAUGGAGUGAUUAUGAAGAUUGGACCUAGGUUUGAAGUAGGAAACCUUGUUCCUCCCAAUUAUCAGAUUGCUACAUCCGGCCAAGAUUAUUGUGUGUGGGAGAAGAAGUGAUGUUCAGGCAAACUUAAGAAUAAGCAGCAACUGAAAGAGCAAUUAUAGGCUGCAUUGUUUGAAAU